rnacentral:rRNA from 1 species
UACGGGGGGGGCAAGCGUUGUUCGGAAUUACUGGGCGUAAAGGGCUCGUAGGCGGCCAACUAAGUCAGACGUGAAAUCCCUCGGCUUAACCGGGGAACUGCGUCUGAUACUGGAUGGCUUGAGUUUGGGAGAGGGAUGCGGAAUUCCAGGUGUAGCGGUGAAAUGCGCAGAUAUCAGGAGGAACACCGGUGGCGAAGGCGGGUCUCUGGGCCGUAACUGACGCUGAGGAGCGAAAGCAUGGGGAGCGAACAGGA